GAUAAGUUUUUAUCAUUUAUAGAAAAAAAUUUAUACGUUUUGGGAUGCACAUCAUUCUUAAAAAAUGUUGUUUCCUGUAAAAAACUACUUUUGAGGGAGAUGGAAAAAUCAAUAAAAUUUUAUUCAAAAAAAUUUGAAAAAAAUAUAUUUAGAAUCUACAAAAAGGAUGUUACAAAUCACUAGUUUACAUCAUCUUCAAAUUCUUAACGAUUUAAAAGUUAUAGGUGUCAGAAAGUGAAGGUUUUUUGCAAAAUGUUCAUCUAUCUAAGUGUCAAAGUUGGUCAAAAAGUGGGAACCAGUAUUGUGAGUUCACCCUAUGCUGAGAAAAAAAGAUAUGAGACAGUGAAAUAUACUUUGAAGAGUGGAUUCUAGAUGCGAAUUAGUCUCAAGAGAAGUGAGUGUUGCUGAUUUUAUUUUGGAUUUUAAGGAAAAUCUUUUUUUGCAAGUAUGCAAAGCACACCCAUAGGUCUCUGUGGUUGGAUCAAUAGUUCAAGAUGUGUAAGAACUCUUUCUCGAUUGACACUAUUGUAUCUGUGGUUGAUUUUGCAGAGAACUAUACAUUGCAACCACAAAAUGAGGUACAAUCUCAGUACUACAAUUCAAUCCAGAUUGCUAUUUUUGUUCACAUUACAUAUACACAUGCUCCUGAUAGUAUAGAAGAGGACAAGAAGAUAAUCAGGGAGUAUCAUUUUUAUAUGAGUGAUGAUAGAUCACACUCCUCCGAGUAUGUGCAACAUUGUUUUGAGAAUUUUUUUGAGUUCUUGCAUGAGAAAGAUAUUGCAAUGGAUCAACAUAUCAUAUCAAAUAACUAUACGGGUCAAUUCAAGAAUGCCCAUAUGUUUUAUUGGUUGAGUAGAAUGCAUGUAGAGAGGUGUAUACCUCAUAUUUGGUGUUUUUUUGAGGCAGGGCAUGGGAAGGGGGAGCAUGAUGGAGCAGGUGCAUGUUUGAAGAGAGCUCUAGUUAAGGAGCAAUUGAGGAUUUGAGGUGCAAAUUUUCCUGAUGCACGUUCUAUUGUUGUUUGGUGUAGUUCAACAUUGUCACAGGGAGGUACUCUUGUUUCAACAGUGACCAGAUUCUUUUGGUUGGUUGAGGAGACCACAAUGGGAUAUAGAUUGGAUUGUCAAACAAUUAAAGAUUCUUCAAAGAUGCAUUCAUUUCUCAGCUCAGAUGCAAGUACAUGGACCAUUUGGACACGAGCGUUGGCUUGUUUUUGUUAGAGUUGUGUUCGGUGUGAUUGGGAUUAGUACGAGUCAAGUGAGUGGGUUGAUAUGUGGGUUCCCCAAUAUCUAACUCCUUUAUCUCAAACAAUACCAUUGUCAAAUGAUGACAUGGAAAGUUCACUUGAGUAUGACCGUCUAUCAGAUCUUGUACAACCAGGACAUGUUUUUGCAGUUGUUGCACCACAAGGGAAUGAAGAGAGAUCAAAAUAUUGGUUGGCACGAUGUGUAUAGGGAAAACCAAAGCUAACACAACCAGUGACAGAUGAUGAUGGGUUCACAUAUCCUACAGGUUCGGUUGUUGUUGUGGGAACUUGGUUGCGAACAUACAUGAUUAGAAAGAAUGACAUACUUGCAUUUGAAGACUAUGAGAAACACAAAACCAUUCUAAUGUGUUCACACCUUAUUAUAGCUAAGAGAUGACCCUUCAGGCAUACUUGAGUAGUAUGUCUUUAAUGGUGCCUUAUUUUUUUUAUCGUGCAUUUCAUUUCAAACAAUGAUCAUUAAACCUUAAUGUUCAAGUUUGUUACGUGUAUAUUAAAGAUGUGUUCAAAAUGCAGGUCUAUUGAUGAAUGUUUUUUUUGACAACAUGGUUUUUGCAUGCACAUAGCGGGUACACUUGAUAUAAUUGGAAGGGACGUAUUUUUGCAACACGACUUAUUAUCAUGCAUUUGAUUCAAGCUUUACAAUUGUUGUUAUUAGAAAACACUAUUUGACAAUUUUUGAUGAUAUAAUUAUCGCAAAACCUUUAUGAUCAUGCAAGUCUUUUUUGAUGAUAUACAACAAUAUCACAUUAUGAUUUUUUCGUCAACAUAGUGGGUUCUCUUGAUAUAAUUCAAAGGGACGUAUUUUUAUGGUAUAUAAUCCCACCUUUUCAUUUAUUAUCAUACAUUUCAGUUGAAGUGAUUAUCAUAAAGCCUUUAUGUUCAUCCAUGCAUUUUAUGUGUAGACUAACAAUUCUUAAAAAUACAGGUUCAUGCUAGAUCAUUCGUCGUUGACAAGUUUACUCUUGGUGAUGGUACAUAUUCCUUUGUGCAUUAAUGAGAUUAAAUUUUGUGCAUAAACACUAAGUCAAGUGAAUGUAUUGCUAUUUAGAAAUGACAAUAUCUACCAUCAUCUUCAACCAUGUAGAGAAAUGUAGUGAGAAGGGCUUUAAUCAACAUGCGUCUUUCUUCAAAGUUAUGCUUGCAUACUUUGUAGAGAAACUGGCAUUGCUGUACAUAAGCUUUUCUCUUAGGACAUGAGGAUGUCUGAUGUAGAUGAAGUGGGACAUUGUAUUUGUAUAUGGAUGCCAAUUGAUGUAACUUUUUUAAUAUGAUAUACAAUGUCCAUGAACAAAUUGGUUUAGUUAUAUUGAUGAUAUACAAUGUAUUUGUACAUGAGUACAUUCAUGUAGUUGUAUUGAUAAUGAAAAAAAAUCAUGUUUGCAUAUUC